UACGAGGGGAGCUAGCGUUACUCGGAAUUAUUGGGCGUAAAGCGUGCGUAGGCGGUAUAAUAAGUUAGAAGUGAAAUCCUUGGGCUCAACCUAAGAAUUGCUUUUAAUACUGUUAUACUAGAGUUCUAGAGGGGAUGGCAGAAUUCCUAGUGUAGAGGUGAAAUUCGUAGAUAUUAGGAGGAAUACCAGAGGCGAAAGCG
rnacentral:rRNA from 1 species